rnacentral:rRNA from 1 species
AUUGAACGCUGGCGGCAGGCCUAACACAUGCAAGUCGAGCGGAUGAAGGGAGCUUGCUCCUGGAUUCAGCGGCGGACGGGUGAGUAAUGCCUAGGAAUCUGCCUGGUAGUGGGGGAUAACGUCCGGAAACGGGCGCUAAUACCGCAUACGUCCUGAGGGAGAAAGUGGGGGAUCUUCGGACCUCACGCUAUCAGAUGAGCCUAGGUCGGAUUAGCUAGUUGGUGGGGUAAAGGCCUACCAAGGCGACGAUCCGUAACUGGUCUGAGAGGAUGAUCAGUCACACUGGAACUGAGACACGGUCCAGACUCCUACGGGAGGCAGCAGUGGGGAAUAUUGGACAAUGGGCGAAAGCCUGAUCCAGCCAUGCUGCGUGUGUGAAGAAGGUCUUCGGAUUGUAAAGCACUUUAAGUUGGGAGGAAGGGCAGUAAGUUAAUACCUUGCUGUUUUGACGUUACCAACAGAAUAAGCACCGGCUAACUUCAUG